rnacentral:tRNA from 1 species
UCCCUCUUAACUCAGUUGGUAAAGAAUCUGCCUGCAGUGCAGGAAACCUGGGUUUGAUUCCUGGAUUGGGAA